CCUAGGGCGGCAGCAGUGGGGAAUAUUGCACAAUGGAGGAAACUCUGAUGCAGCAACGCCGCGUGGAGGAUGACACUUUUCGGAGCGUAAACUCCUUUUAUAUAGGAAGAAGAUGACGGUACUAUAUGAAUAAGCGCCGGCUAACUCCGUGCCAGCAGCCGCGGUAAUACGGAGGGCGCAAGCGUUACUCGGAAUCACUGGGCGUAAAGAGCGUGUAGGCGGAUUAAAAAGUCAGAAGUGAAAUCCUAUAGCUUAACUAUAGAACUGCUUCUGAAACUCUUAAUCUAGAAUAUGGGAGAGGUAGAUGGAAUUUCUGGUGUAGGGGUAAAAUCCGUAGAGAUCAGAAGGAAUACCGAUUGCGAAGGCGAUCUACUAGAACAUUAUUGACGCUGAGACGCGAAAGCGUGGGGAGCAAACAGGAUUAGAUACCCGUGUAGUC
rnacentral:rRNA from 1 species